rnacentral:rRNA from 1 species
AGUACUGGUGACUGGAGUUCAGACGUGUGCUCUUCCGAUCUUAGGGGUGAAAGGCCAAUCAAACACCGUGAUAGCUGGUUCUCCCCGAAAUGCAUUUAGGUGCAGCGUUGCGUGGUUCUUGUUGGAGGUAGAGCACUGGAUGGUCUAGGGGGCUUAUCGGCUUACCGAAAUCAGCCAAACUCCGAAUGCUGGCAAGUGUAGCGUGGCAGUGAGACGGCGGGGGAUAAGCUUCGUCGUCGAGAGGGAAACAGCCCAGAUCAUCAGCUAAGGCCCCUAAGUGGUGACUCAGUGGGAAAGGAUGUGGAGUUGCGUAGACAACCAGGAGGUUGGCUUGGAAGCAGCCAUCCUUGAAAGAGUGCGUAAUAGCUCACUGGUCAAGUGAUUCCGCGCCGAUAAUGUAGCGGGGCUUAAGUUAUCCGCCGAAGCUGUGGCAACCUGUGUGGUUGGGUAGGGGAGCGUCGUGUCAGUGGUGAAGCUGCCGGGUGACUGUGUGGUGGAGUUGAUGCGAGUGAGAAUGCAGGCAUGAGUAGCGUGUGACGGGUGGGAAUCCCGUCCGCCGAUUAUCCAAGGGUUCCAGGGUCAAGUUUGUCUGCCCUGGGUGAGUCGGGUCCUAAGGCGAGGCCGACAGGCGUAGUCGAUGGGUAACCAGUUGAUAUUCUGGUACCGGCUUGUCACCGUCCGUGUCGAGGUGUGUGAUGCUAAGCAUGUGAGCUUGUCUUGGGAGUGUUUUUGAUGCUUCUGGGGUGGGUGAGUGUGUGAACCGAUCAUGUAGUAGGCAAGCUGCGGAGGGACGCAGUGAGGUAGCUCAUCCCCGGUGAUGGUUGUCCGGGGCUAAGUGUGUGGACUGUCUGGUAGGUAAAUCCGCUGGGCGUGAAGGUUGAGGCAUGAUGGGGAGCCCACGGUUGUGGGUGAGUGAGUGAUCCUGUACUGUCGAGAAAAGCUUCGUGAGCGAGGUGGCGGGUCCGCCCGUACCCUAAACCGACACUGGUGGAUAGGUAGAGUAUACCGAGGCGAUCGAGUGAAUCGUGGUGAAGGAACUCGGCAAAAUGCCCCCGUAACUUUGGGAUAAGGGGGACCUGAGCUGUCGUGCACCCGUGCGGUGUGGUGGCGGUGAGGGGCGCAGAGUCCAGGGGGAAACGACUGUUUACCAAAAACACAGGUCCGUGCGAAGUCGUAAGACGAUGUAUACGGACUGACUCCUGCCCGGUGCUGGAAGGUUAAGAGGAUUGGUUAGCUCUUUUGGGCGAAGCUGAGAAUUUAAGCCCCAGUAAACGGCGGUGGUAACUAUAACCAUCCUAAGGUAGCGAAAUUCCUUGUCGGGUAAGUUCCGACCUGCACGAAUGGAGUAACGACUUCCCUACUGUCUCAACCAUGAACUCGGCGAAAUUGCAGUACGAGUAAAGAUGCUCGUUUCGCGCAGCAGGACGGAAAGACCCCGUGACCUUUACUAUAGUUUGGUAUUGGUGUUUGGUUUGGCUUGUGUAGGAUAGGUGGGAGACUGUGAAGCAUGGACGCUAGUUUGUGUGGAGUCGUUGUUGAAAUACCACUCUGGUCAAUCUGGAUGUCUAACUUCGGGCCAUGAUCUGGUUCAGGGACAGUGCCUGAUGGGUAGUUUAACUGGGGCGGUUGCCUCCUAAAGUGUAACGGAGGCGCCCAAAGGUUCCCUCAGCCUGGUUGGCAAUCAGGUGUUGAGUGUAAGUGCACAAGGGAGCUU